CGGGGCCUACAAAAUAUUUCAGCGACAUGAGUUUUCCAAGAGAAGCCAAAAUUCAGAUUAAUCGAAUACCUGAAAAGGUCUGUACAUCACCUAGCGUCCUUCCGGUUGGCACUGGAGGUUGGGGAGGUGACCAGAUGGCCGUCUCGUGUAGAGCAUUUAUGUCCUUCUCCAAUGACCAGCUUGCCUCUGGGCUCCUGGGAGCAGUUUCCAGUGGAAUGGAGCAGAGAGAAUCAUAAUUAUGUCUCAGCCCUAGUUCAUCACCCAAUAGGGACCUGUAUUUCUCCAUGUGCCCUUAUAAAUCUUUUAGCUAAAUCAGGGCUCAAAUGUAAAACCCAGUUCCCAAGGGAACUUUUUAAUAUAAACUAAAGUCUGGUUUAGGCUGAUUUUUUUCUUAAUCUUUGUGAAAAGUAUUUACUCAUGAUAGUUCCAGAUUUAGUACAAAGUCUUACUUAUUUUGCAUGACACUAAAAACAAAAACUCCAAAUGAACAAAAAGCAGAAACAUCCCUCAAACACCAUACAACAUAUAGAUAACAUUCCAUUUAAAUUAUGAAAAUGCAAUUUAGAAGCUGGUAGAAUGUUCAGAGGAAGCGUGCUAUUUCUGGACAAUGCUGCCAUUGUUAUUUUGCUUGGUUUUGCUUUUCAACUAAAUAAUGCUUUUAUCUUCUUAUAGUAGAGCCCCAUAAAGGGAUAAAGUAGUGGAAAUAUGACAAACUUACCCUUUCCGUUUUUUAAAUCUAGUUGUUUUUACGUCCUGUGAUAAUCAUAGAACCUCAUCCUGGCUCUAGAGGGUUAAGCACAGGUUAAAUCCUGAGCAAGUAGUUUUCUAGAGCAAUCUCCUAAGGAGUGCUAUUCUGACUAUCCUUGAAAGAAGAGAUUCUGUCUGGUCAGCACUCCGGGAGCCAAGUGCUCUUUUAAAAUCUGGAUUUGUUGAUGCUACAUGUCAAAAUCCAGACAGAGUGAUAAAUUACUCAUAAAUGAAAAGAGAGGCAAUUAUUGCAGUGAUGGUCACUGGCUAUGAUCUUGGUAAUUCCAGUUCUAUAGCUAUUCUUUUAGCUACAGAUAUUUUUUAUCCUGAACAUCUGAUUCCCAGUUUGAACCUGUGAAUAAGUUACUGGAAGCUAUUAGGAAAAAAAUUAUGCUGUCUGCAAAUGAACCUUGGUGUCUCUAGAAUCCUUUGAAGAAAUAAUAGAAAACCCAGGGACCACUAAAUGCCCUGUGAACUGCUGGGAAAAAAAUAGCUUACAUUUUCUGGAGGAAAAGUGACUCUCUGUAUUUAUGUAAUCAUUUCAAUUAUGAUUCUGCUUAUUAGCUAUAAACCCCAGAAGUCACGAGGUUAAUAGGAACCUUUCCAAAGACACACACAUUAAACUUGGGGAAUAAGGUCAUACAUUUGCAGAAUUCAGGGUUUAUUGGGACUGGUAUCUGUCUCACAUUAGAGAUUUUGUAGGGAACACUGGCUCCUGGCACACACUCUCUUGGCAUCUGUAUUCCUUUUGUCUGCAUCAGGUUCUGCUUGUUCCUCAAACCAUCAGAAGCUAUUUAAGCCGAAAGGGGUGGAUGCCUCCUAUACCUGGAAUCAUGUAAGCAGUAAAACAUGUGUUCCACUUACCCAGUUGAGAGAGGGCUUCAACAGGAAGGCUUGUGGUAUUAGUGAUACUCUUAUAUUUUAGUACAUUACUUACGUUGGAGUCAUUUUUGAAUUUUUUGUUGACUUGCUUUGAAUUUCUAUCUUUUUUUUAUUAAAUUUAGUUCAAAAUUUCUUUGCUGUUUUUGGUUAUGUGCUGAGCACGGUGUGCAAACGCUGUAGAGGAUGCUGUAAAUAAGACAGAAGAAAUUCAGUAAAAUAAUUAGCAUAUGAAUAAUUUCAGUCUCAUGAGUAAUCGACAAAUAUCAAAGUAAUACUUUUCAUCCCAUCAAAUGAUCCAAGAUUAAGGAAAAAGAAAGUUGGUGUGGCGAUGAUGCCAGGGCGUUUUGUUGUGCUGAACUGGUAGUUAGUGCUGUGAGAGAGAUACAAACCACAAGCCCCCUGUGAAGGAUCACAGUUGGAAACAUCAGGGAAAGUUUCUGGAAGGAUUUUGGAAGAGAAACUGAAUUUAAACAGAUGGAGGAUGGAAAUGAAUGCAGGGAACAGAGCUUGAUGAAGGCUGAAAAGAUUUUUUUCCAGGACGUGCGCUGGGGGAGAGGAUUGCUGAGCCUUGAGAUGUACUAGACAGUCCAAAUUGCUCUCCAAGUGUCUGUGCCAACUGGAACUCCCACCAGCGACGUUGGAGAGCUCCAGCUUAUCCUCACCCUUGCGUUUUGCCACUUUAUAUGGACUUGAGCGAGCAGACAUUGUGAGCAAAUCAUCUUGGUGGCAAAAUGUGCCCAGGUGUCUCUCCAGGUCACAGGAUUACCAGAAGCAGCUAAGAAGUGAUUGAGUUUGAAUGCAAGCUCUCUCACUUAUAAACAAGGCAGGGUACACAGAAUGUCAACAAAAUGAAUCAGUUUGAAAAAAGUUGGUCUUGAAAUAAAUAGAACUGAACAGAAGUUUGGGAUUGAAAUCUGAGCUGUCCAUAUCAAUUCGAAAUGAUUGGAAGAACUGGACUCUAAGGCUCUCACUGGACUCUAAGGAUACCGGAGUGAAAUGAAGAGGACCCUUCAUUACACCCACCUCAAGAGCCCGGACUAAAUAAAUGGAACAAAACAGUAUUAGUGAGGCGUGAGUUUCAUGAAAACCAUUUAUUCUUGGGAAAAGAGCUGUCAGCAUACAACCCCAGGGCUUGGUCAUUCAACCCCGUUCCCACCUGGCUGUCCCUUGUAUCCUCUUGAAAGAGGCCAGGCUGCUCAGCACUCAUUUUUCUUGAACACUCUGCCUGGCUCAGUGCUGACCUGGGAUGCAGGUGCCCAGCUUGCCUUCCCAGGCAAAGACACCAAGCUGCCUGGGGAGAAGGUCGGUAGCCCUCACGCCUUGCUUCCUGUAAACUGGACAUGGUGUCUGGAAGUGUGGGGGCUGCCUUGCGACCCUGAGCACAGAGACUUCUGGCAUUCCGAGCUCCUCUGCCAGCCUGGUAUUCCUACCCCUAGAUUCUAAGUGACCAGAGACUAAAUAAACCCAUAUCUGUGUAAAGGCCUUGUAGUGAAAACUUUUAUUUUUAUUUUCUUGCCUGGAAAAUCCCAUGGGCGGAGGAGCCUGGUAGGCUGCAGUCCAUGGGGUCACACAGAGUCAGACACGACUGAGUGUCUUCACUUUCACUUUUC